AAACAAUACAGAACAUUAUUUGACACACCUAUCAUUUUACAUUUUGACAGAACUGCGUUACUUCGAUACAAUAAGGAUUCGGGACCUUUAGCAGAUAUGAAUUCACUUUGGUUAGCUUCGAUGAUGACAUAUUUAUUUUGUCAUGAUGCUGUGUUACAAGUACCCGACAUGUAUACAAUUUCAACCUCGUUUUGAAACAAAAAAAUUGGAAACGUCAUUCAGCGCAGAUUUAAUUUGGUAUUUAUUUCCAAAGACUUUACAGUAGCAUAGUAAAGUCUUGGUCCUCUACUGACUGACUUACAAGUAGCAGACGUGACCAUUCGCCUGAUUGAAAACUGCCUUCAAACCCCACAAAAAUGUUACUGAAAAACGCUGUCAUCAAAAACUAUCAUGUGUUUCAAAUCCGUCCCCCAAAACAACUAUUGAUAGCGAGUACACAAAUACCCAUGACGUAAAUGCUUGUGUUGUCUGGCUACCGCCUUUGGCAACAUUCCAGGAACAUAUUCAGGAUCAAUUUACUUGUACAAAAGACAACAAGUGUUAAGUGAUGUAGCAGGUUUACCUAUUGGACAUGUGCCUAAAUGUCUCAGUGAAGUAUUUGGAAAUGUCACGGAUAAUGGUGGCAAGAUAUUUGCUGAAGUCACUGGAGACCCAGUACCUAGGUUUCCACCAUGGUCAUCUUUAGACCAGGAAGGUGGUGGCAUUGUUUUAUUUUUUUCACUACUCUUUUUAGAUAAUGAUAUUGGUGUGUGUUUUAAUAUACUUGAGAAAAGUUUUGAUAAUGUCACUGAGGGUAAGAUGAUGAAAUUUCUCAAAGAACUCUUGGCGUGUUACAGUAUAAACAAUUUGUCACAAGCACAUGUCUUAUUUAUUAGCAAAUGCUUAAGAAUAUAGGCUAUCUUUUAUUAAAGACGUUAAAAUACAUCUAAUUGUCAUGUUCAUAUGCCAGUUUGAAUAUGUAAGUUCAUUUUAAUAAAAAUCAGCAGUU